rnacentral:rRNA from 1 species
AUUGAACGCUGGCGGCAUGCCUUACACAUGCAAGUCGAACGGUAACAGGUCUUCGGAUGCUGACGAGUGGCGAACGGGUGAGUAAUACAUCGGAACGUGCCUAGUAGUGGGGGAUAACUACUCGAAAGAGUGGCUAAUACCGCAUGAGAUCUACGGAUGAAAGCAGGGGAUCGCAAGACCUUGUGCUACUAGAGCGGCCGAUGGCAGAUUAGGUAGUUGGUGGGAUAAAAGCUUACCAAGCCGACGAUCUGUAGCUGGUCUGAGAGGACGAUCAGCCACACUGGGACUGAGAGACGGACCAGACUCCUACGGGAGGCAGCAGUGGGGAAUUUUGGACAAUGGGCGCAAGCCUGAUCCAGCAAUGCCGCGUGCAGGAUGAAGGCCUUCGGGUCGUAAACUGCUUUUGUACGGAACGAAAAGCCCCGGGUUAAUACCCUGGGGUCAUGACGGUACCGUAAGAAUAAGCACCGGCUAACUACGUGCCAGCCGCCGCGGUAA